rfam:Arabidopsis lyrata subsp. lyrata unplaced genomic scaffold ARALYscaffold_2, whole genome shotgun sequence.
GUUCACACGACAACACAAUUUCAUUUGUGCCAAUCAUUCUAACAAAGUAUACCUCGGUCUCAGUGAUGGCAUACUUUGCUGGAUUGAUUGGUACACAUGAAAUUGUGAUGUUAUCGGCAGUA